AAAAAUUAUUCUUUAAUCUUUUUUUUUACAGUCCAGUCAUUAUAGAUUAUUAAGGCUAUAUAUGUCUCAUUGUUUAACAACAACAAAAGAAAAUUAUUUUUAAAGCAAAAUUAAUAAAGAUACUAGAAAAGGUUAAUACUAUUUGUGAAAUGAAGGAAUAGAUGCCAGAGUUUUUCAGUAUGUUUUAAAGUUGCAGUCACUUCUGGGGUGGGGCCUGAAAGUCAACAGAUAGUAAGAAGCAGAAAGGGACAGAAUCCCAGAUACUCAUUGGCACACUCUUAAGCUUUGGUAACAAAUCACUUUUGUGUUAAUAGCAACCAAUGAAAUUUCCAAAAUGACAGCCAGAGAGUUGGUAGCAAGAGCUCACUGGCAAAACUGAAACGGCUACGGUGCAAUCCAUCCUCGGUUUCUGGAAAAUGAUCUGUCUGGGUAACUUCAGCCCAUGACUUUCCCUGAAUAAAAAUAAAUAAUAAAACUCCCCUUCAUUCUCAGAAAAUUACAAAUUGGUUAUGCAUGUUACCUGCUGUGACUUCCACAGUUGCUCCGAGAAACUGGCUGGCUGGAAGUCCUUAGCUGGUGAAGAAAUAGGAAGACUGACAGGAGGCAGUGCCAUCUCAGGACAGUGUCUGGCCCUGGAAGCAGUGAGCUUUGAAGUUCAAAAGAAUAAAUACAAGCCAGGGCUGUAGUGAUGCAUGCCUUUGGUCUCAGGACUCAAGGAAGAGGCAGGUAGAUCUUUGGGAAUUUGAGGGGCAGCCAGCCUGGUCUACACAGUAAAUUCCAAGGCUACAUAUUCCACACUGAGACUUCAUCUC
rnacentral:lncRNA from 1 species